rnacentral:misc_RNA from 1 species
GAAAAUUUGAUCAUUGAACUUCAUGCAGUUCUUGGGAACAAGUGGUCGCAAAUUGCAGCUAGAUUACCUGGAAGAACAGAUAACGAGAUAAAGAAUCUGUGGAACUCUUCAAUUAAGAAAAAGCUUAGGCAAAGAGGAAUUGAUCCUAAUACACACAAGCCACUUUCCGAACUAGAGAACGAAGAGAAAGCGUCGGCAAACAGUAACACUAAGAACAAUGACAAAGUUUCAGAAAGUUCAAAUAAUGAAUUCAAUUUUGUUGAGAAUGGAUUUUCAACAGAAAAACCAAUUAAGCCGGCCGUAUCUUCAAUGAUAAAUACUUUGGAGCGUUAUCCACUUAUUCAUGAGCCAAAUAAUAUUGCCCCACCAACUCAUGAAUUUUUCACCACCAAUUGCAAGUCUCCUGAUUUGUCUAAUUAUCUCUCUUUUCACAAUUAUUCUCCCAACACGAAUAUUCUCUUCAAUACCAAAACCUCUUCUUCAUCUGCUGCUGACAAUAUUAUAUCUGAUCAUCAGUUCAAUUGUAGCACUUUGACAAAUGCUACUUUUUCUACUAUGUCGAAUUCGAUUCUCAGUACUACCAUAUCGCCGUUGGCGCGUAAUUUUAAUAUCAACAAGUUUCAGAAUUGGGAAGCGUGUACGAUCAGCAGC